UUCAAAAGAGUAUUUUCAGCAAAGAAGAGAAGAAUCACGAAACUCUUCUCCAUUUUUCACUCAAAUCUUACAAAUAUCAUAACUUCUUCGUUUCUCAACGAAAUUUAGCGAUUCUUGCGGCCACGGAACGAGGAAACGAUUAUCUACAGAUCUAUGGCUUCAAUAUGAGUGAGUUUAUAAGCUUGAAUUGGAUGCAAAAUGAUGAUGGAGCUAAGGUUUUCAAGGCGUUCCUAAGAUUGAUUUGGAAGGUAUUGAUGAUGAUUACUCAUGAUUGGAGCUUCGGCAUGUGACAUCUUCAAGACCCGACGAGGCGACUAUCGACGAGGCUCGGAGUUUAUGGAUCGAGAUUAACGUUUUACUGGAUUAGAGUAAAUGGAUAGCAAGUGGGAUAGCAUGAUAUUAUUUGGAAAGUCAAGCUUCCGAAGUUUUAAUUCUCGGAAGUCAUUUGCACAAGAAGUGAAAGAAGGUUUUCAUUCUAGCAGUCCGCAGUAGUCUAGAUGUUUUUGUCUAGGUAUUUGUAUUGCGCAUUUUAACUCUGAUGCUUUUGUAAAAUGGGGUCACAUGUAUUUUGAUAUAUGAAACAUGAUUUGGUUUGUGAAAAAUUUACACAGGAUUUUAGGCUUGCUACGGGUUUCGGAGCUACCACUCCCAUUCCCUAGCGCCGGUCGCGACUCAUAAAUUUGGGUCGUGACAUUUUAUUUU